UGGAAAUAUACCUUAGAUUGGUCAAAAAGCACCUAGCUAACAAAUGGCAUUUAUACUAAGGCAUAAAGGCUGAAAAGACAUGAAGGCAACAUCUAGGGAAAAAUAGUUGUGAGCAGAAUGCAGAGGCCCUGAGAACUCAAAUGAUGCUGUUUUUGGACAGGGAGGCCAUGGGCCAAGUACAGAGAGGCAACAGGAUGGAAUUAAGAUGUUUCCAGUGAAAGAAAGAAGAAAGCAUCCUUUUCUCUUGACUGUGCAGAAAAAAAUUCUGUGUUUCUUUGAUUCUCCAUUUUACUAGAUGCCAUACCUUUGUAAUUACUUCAUGUGGAGUCUUGACCAAGAUUCAGGAAAUACUAGAACUUUCAGUCCCAGAGGGUUACUCUAGGCAUUACUAGUUUCCGUCAUUAUGAGUUGAGUUUUACUAGUUAAUUUCAGAUGAAAAACAUUUGUUUUUCCCCAGAUUCUGGGGUUGUGUACUUUUACUACCUAUGAACUGACAACUGUAUCUUCAGUAAUUACAAUUUCCAACAAAAUGUUAUAGGAAUAAAGAAAAGAUGUUAGUUCAUUA